UACGUAGGGUGCAAGCGUUAAUCGGAAUUACUGGGCGUAAAGCGUGCGCAGGCGGUUGUGCAAGACCGAUGUGAAAUCCCCGGGCUUAACCUGGGAAUGGCAUUGGUGACUGCACGGCUAGAGUGUGUCAGAGGGGGGUAGAAUUCCACGUGUAGCAGUGAAAUGCGUAGAGAUGUGGAGGAAUACCGAUGGCGAAGGCCAGCCCCCUGGGAUAACACUGA
rnacentral:rRNA from 1 species